UAGCCAACGGCAGGUUGUCGUGACGUCGUUUGGUCUAACGGGCAGCGGCAGGACGAGUAGCUUUAAACCGAGAAACACUCACCAAAAACCGCAAACCAGGCGAUGAUAAGCGCGGCCAAAGCGUGAGAGAGUUUCAUCCUUCUGUUGAGAUUACACUGCAGGGCAGACUCUAGUGACUUUUCAGUUCCCGUAGAGGAAAGAGAAGGGGGAAAAGGUGGUGUUGUGUCGCUGCAGGCACAGGUUCCUCCGCUGCCAGAAGAUAACAUAAAGGAGUUAUUGGGAAAUCCUAAAGCACAUCCAGCUGGUGAAAACGGCUCAACACAUAACUUGCCUGAUACGGUUGUGCACAAAAAAGGAUAUUCUCUAAACUGGUGGAUCUGGGCCUGCACGUGAUCUUCACAGACCUGUCGUAGCUGCUUGUACAGCGUGGGGGAGACUUUAUACGAACAGAGGUUCUCGACCGCCUUCAACAAAGAGAAAGUGACAGAGACGAGGAGAAGAGAAGAGACAGGAGCACAAGAGAUCGCUUCACAAAUCUGCAACAUCAAAUCUGUACUGUAUGAUCUGCUGAAAGAGCAUGUGUUAAAGCAUAUGUGCUAGUCACGUUGAAGUGUUCUGUACUGGCACAUUUCUACAGUCCAGCACUGCUAUGCACUUAUCACAGCCUGGGAGAAGGAAACAUUCAAACCAUUGGUGUUUAAAAAGAAAGACAGCAAACCUGAUAGAGCUCUUCCAGAUUGUACUUGAUAGAGGUGCUGUUCUGGAUGGCACCCACUGCAUCCCGUAGCUUCAGCCACGUGUCCUCAGUGUAGUUCUCGGCUAGUUUUGGCCUGUCUGUUACAAAAAGCCAGAAACAAUGUUAAUUUAUAGGUCAAACAUAUUAGGAACUGCAAAUGAAACACAAUGUUAGCAUUUAAACAUAUGGUAUUUUGACAUGUUUAACACAAACAUGACAUGUUGCACAUUUGGAAAUUGUUAAAAGAUUUUCACAAAAUAAAAGUUUUCUUCCAGUAAUUUCUUCCUUAACUCUAGACCAACAUCUGCAAUAUUGUAUAUAUCUUGGUCAUAAAUAAAAAUGGA